GACCACCAGCUAAGGUCCCAAAAUAUAUGUUAAGUGGAAAAGGAUGUGGCGUUGCCCAGACAACUAGGAUGUUGGCUUAGAAGCAGCCAUCAUUUAAAGAGUGCGUAAUAGCUCACUAGUCGAGUGACACUGCGCCGAAAAUGUACCGGGGCUAAACAUAUUACCGAAGCUGUGGAUUGUCCUUUGGACAAUGGUAGGAGAGCGUUCUAAGGGCGUCGAAGCAUGAUCGCAAGGACAUGUGGAGCGCUUAGAAGUGAGAAUGCCGGUGUGAGUAGCGAAAGACGGGUGAGAAUCCCGUCCACCGAUUGACUAAGGUUUCCAGAGGAAGGCUCGUCCGCUCUGGGUUAGUCGGGUCCUAAGCUGAGGCCGACAGGCGUAGGCGAUGGAUAACAGGUUGAUAUUCCUGUACCACCUAGUAUCGUUUUAAUCGAUGGGGGGGACGCAGUAGGAUAGGCG
rnacentral:rRNA from 1 species